UACGUAGGGGGCAAGCGUUGUUCGGAAUUACUGGGCGUAAAGGGCGCGUAGGCGGCCCUCCUUGUCGCGUGUGAAAGCCCCGGGCUCAACCUGGGAACGGCGCGCGAGACGGGGGGGCUGGAGUUCGGGAGAGGAGCGUGGAAUUCCCAGUGUAGAGGUGAAAUUCGUAGAUAUUGGGAAGAACACCGGUGGCGAAGGCGGCGCUCUGGACCGAGACUGACGCUGAGGCGCGAAAGCGUGGGGAGCAAACAGG
rnacentral:rRNA from 1 species